AGUAAACAAGAGCCACCCUGCUAGGUUUAUCAGUUCCUAGUGAAAACGCUACAGGGCUGGAAGUAGAAUUUUCUCAAUUGAGAACUCCUGCCUUGGAAAUUGCUCCAUUUGGGAGUUUGCUGGAACCACAGCUAAUGAGCUUCAAGGCGUGAUGUAUGAAAGGGGCUUACAAAGUUGGAGCUACCAGUGGAUGAAUUUAAUUCCUGCUCAUUCCAAAUCGGGGCUACGAAAGCUUCGGCCCAACUUGGAUGAGGGGCCACAGUGAUGCAGGCAAUUGGGUGAUGGCAUUCAAAUGAAUACAGGAGACCUCAGCCCCCCCUCAAUGAUGGCGAAGAAGGGCAGCACUGCCCCGGCAGCAGGAUGGCUGGGACCUAGCUGGAGAUUAUGUGGAAAUGAUGAUGAUCUGCACUGUACAAUUUAUUGCUGGCUACUCCCAGAUAUUUUAAGUGAAUAAAUUUGUGGCCUAAUUAAACCACAUCCAUUACAUCCUGCCUUUCUGCUGGUGUGAUCAGAUGACAAAGCACUUGUCAGCAGAGGUCAUUGUACCAUCAUCAAUGCAGAUGUUCGAGAUUAUAUAACAUAACAAGGGGAAUACUGGGAAAGGACUGUUAGAUGCAAGGGUUGGACAGAGACCUUUUAAUUUUGCAUUAAUGGUUCAAAAGAAGGGAGCAGAAAGAGGGGAAACUGGUACAGGGAAACCCCACUAUAACGCACCCCGCAAUAACACGAAUUUGGAUAUAAAGCGAUCAUAAGAUGGCUCUGGCCGCCCCAAGCAAAAAAAACAAUAAAAAAAGUGCUGGAGCGCUGCAGAAGUGAAAAAAAGAAAGAAAGAAAAGAAAGAAAUGGCCAGAGCACCGCCGAAGCGCACAAAAAAAAAAAAAAAAAAAAGGCAGCCAGAGCGCCGCCGAAGCACAAAAAAGGAAAAAAGAAAAAAAAGAGGAUGGAGCGCAGCCAAAAAAAAAAAAAUGGAAUGUGCCUUCCCCACUGCCUGUUCCUCCCCCUACCCCUGCUUCUUCUUUUGGUGAGAAGAGCCGUUCUCCUCCCGAGGUGCUCCUCGCUCUUCCUCUGCCCCUUGCAUGUCUCCCCUGCUCUCCCCAAGGGGUUCCCUCUCCCGCUGCACGGCUGAAAGCCCCCGCUGCUGGAGCUGCACCCUUUCAGUUACUGUUAUGGGCAGUUUGCAAACGCAAGUUGUUUUCUGCCCAAGAGAAACUGACCAGCUUGAAACUGACCAGCUUGAAAUGGUAAACCUCGCUAUACCGCUACCCCGCAUUUAUUGUGAUCCAAUUUUUUGGACCCCAAUCAUCGUGUGAUAGUGGGGUUUCACUGUAUUAAAGAGUACACUAAAGUGUAAAAUGAAUGAAAAUUAAGAAGCAGAAUAAGUUGAUAAAGAACACUGUGGGCAGACAGUCUGCAGUAUGAACAAAAUAUGUGCCCAGACAAGCAAAAAUGAGGAAUGUUUAAAAAAAGGAAGGAUUAUUAUUUCACAAACUGAAGAAUUAAAGAAACAGAGCUCUCUCUAUGGGCUAGUUUGCUGGACCUUUGUAGGGCUGUACAGGUGCACACAGCUUUACAGACUACACUUAGAACCAACAGCUUGAACUCAGAUCUAAGGCUGAAAAAAAGAAAAAAUGAGGAACACAGUGGGGGAAAAGAACAGAGACAGGGAAGAAAGAAAGAGUUUUUAAGGCUGAUAGAUACAUCAGCACUGUGAUAUGAUGAAAAAGGUCCAGAGAGAUAGUUUCCGAGACAAUAUAGCAGACAAAAGCUUUGGAAAGCAUGUUAGGGAGCUGUUCUAUUGCGUGCUGAAAUUUUUCUGGAUGUACCCAUUUCCGCUUUCAUCUUGCUUAAAAGCAGCAUGAAACAUAUACUAUAUGGGUGCAAUAAAGACCUGAAAUCUAAAAACAUGUCUAAAUUUAAAUCCAAACCAUUGAAAGAUUUGCAUAGCAUUAUAAUGAGGGUCAACUAAAUUAAGCAGCAAUUUUUGUUAAAUGUGGCACUAAAUAAAUCACGACCUCUCAAAUCUCAGAGCACAGAACCACUCUAUACUAUUGAGUACAGUUCAUGCACUGUAGGGAGGAGAAAAAGCUGGUGGGAUUUUGAGUUUUGUGAAACCUCUAGAACUUUUGUAAAAAUGAUGGGUUUCUGAAGCUUUGUAGAGUUUCAAGAAACAUUUUUAUUGUACUUUGAAUCCUUUAUUUUCCAAGGGAAAUUUAAUUUUUAAAAGUAAGUGUUUCUAGUGGGGCCUGGGCUAACCAAACAGAUGACUGCCUGUGUAGAUCAGAGCCUAGUUUUGUAGAAAUGGAAUUGCUGAUUUUCUAAGAAAGUUACAUUGCUUCAUUAAGUUACAACUUCAUACAUGAAACAGGAAAUGCAAAACAUGAUCACUCAGUAAUAGAAUAAUAGGGUCAGAUCCUCAGCUGGUGUAUAUCAGUAUAGCUUCAUUGACAUCAAGGUCCAUAAUCCUAUCAUUUUAGUUCCCUUACAGAAAUUGUUGCAUUUUUAUAUCAAAUACAUUCAUUGUCUAAUAAAUCUAAUAUGAAAAACAACCUAAGAACACUCACUUCUCUAGAAGGGCUGGUAGGGCAGGAGUACAUGUCAGACUGCUUCUUCCGUUGGGUGAUUCAGACUGUGAAUUGAAAACAUGAUAAGUAAAUGUUAGAUUCCAUGCAAUGUUAAGUUUCAUGAAUUGAUUUCUAAUGCAAUUUCAGUAUGAUGAUAAAAUUAAUGGGUUUCUUAUCUGAAGUUUUUCUGCCCAAAUACAUCACACAAAAUCUGAAAAUUGAGCUCUCAAACUACUUCUGUAAACAAUGGACAUUAAAGAUUACGAGUAGCUAUUUUUAC